GUAGGGAAUCUUGCGCAAUGGGCGAAAGCCUGACGCAGCCAUGCCGCGUGAAUGAUGAAGGUCUUAGGAUUGUAAAAUUCUUUCACCGGGGACGAUAAUGACGGUACCCGGAGAAGAAGCUCCGGCUAACUUCGUGCCAGCAGCCGCGGUAAUACGAAGGGGGCUAGCGUUGCUCGGAAUUACUGGGCGUAAAGGGCGCGUAGGCGGAUAUUUAAGUCGGGGGUGAAAGCCCGGGGCUCAACCUCGGAAUAGUCUUCGAUAAUGGAUAUCUUGAGUACGGGAGAGGUGUGUGGAACUCCGAGUGUAGAGGUGAAAUUCGUAGAUAUUCGGAAGAACACCAGUGGCGAAGGCGACACACUGGCCCGUUACUGACGCUGAGGCGCGAAAGCGUGGGGAGCAAACAGGAUUAGAUACCCUAGUAGUCC
rnacentral:rRNA from 1 species